GCCUGGGUGGCUCAGUCGGUUAAGCAUCCGACUUCAGCUCGGGUUAUGAUCUCACAGUUCGUGGGUUCGAGCCCCACAUAGGGCU
rfam:Felis catus isolate Cinnamon breed Abyssinian chromosome E1, whole genome shotgun sequence.